rnacentral:rRNA from 1 species
UAUUGGUCAAUGGGCGCGAGCCUGAACCAGCCAAGUAGCGUGAAGGAUGACGGCCCUAUGGGUUGUAAACUUCUUUUAUAUGGGAAUAAAGUUUGGUAUGUAUACCAUUUUGUAUGUACCAUAUGAAUAAGGAUCGGCUAACUCCGUGCCAGCAGCCGCGGUAAUACGGAGGAUCCGAGCGUUAUCCGGAUUUAUUGGGUUUAAAGGGAGCGUAGGUGGAUUGUUAAGUCAGUUGUGAAAGUUUGCGGCUCAACCGUAAAAUUGCAGUUGAAACUGGCAGUCUUGAGUACAGUAGAGGUGGGCGGAAUUCGUGGUGUAGCGGUGAAAUGCAUAGAUAUCACACAGAACACCGAUUGCGAAGGCAUCUCACGAAUCCGCGAUCGACGCUGAUGCACGAAAGCGUGGGUAUCAAAC